GUGCCAGCCGCCGCGGUAAUACCGGCAGCCCGAGUGAUGGUCGAUAUUAUUGGGCCUAAAGCGUCCGUAGCUGGCCGAACAAGUCCGUCGGGAAAUCCACGUGCUUAACGCGUGGGCGUCCAGCGGAAACUGUCUGGCUUGGGGCCGGAGGACUCGAGGGGUACGUCCGGGGUAGGAGUGAAAUCCCGUAAUCCUGGACGGACCACCGGUGGCGAAAGCGCCUCGAGAGGACGGACCCGACGGUGAGGAACGAAAGCCAGGGUCUCGAACCGGAUUAGAUACCCUUGUAGUCC
rnacentral:rRNA from 1 species